GCCAGCUAUCCAGCCAGAUCAAGUCGUACCUCAGUCAAGCACGUCCAAGAGCACGGCGCGGAGCACGACGCUGCCGGCCGCGCCGCGCGAGAUCUGAAGGCGCGAGACGAAGAAAACGAGAUCAAAAUUGAGGAGCUCGCGCACGCAGCGGUUACCGCGUCUCAGAUCUCAGCGCGGCGCCUCCCGCCCGGCCCUCCCGGCGAGUGCGCCACUAGCGCGCGCGAUCCGAUGAGGCGGCGGCCGUUCCCGGACCAGCGGCGGCCAUCGUUCAACCGGCGAUGGCAGCAGCGGCCGUGGUGGGUCCGCCUCGCGCUCUCCUUCCUCCUCGCCCUCGCCUGCGUCCUCCUCCUCGCCGUCCUCCUCGGCUCCCCCGACCCCGGUGCCUCCUCGUCCACCUCCAACGCCUCUUCCGGAUCCUCGACCACCUCCUCUCCUCUCCUCCGCCAGAGAUCUUACCUCGAGGGCAUCACGGAUGCGCUCAACAUAACCGAUGAAAUGCUGAGCGCUCGCUCGUUUUCGAGGCAGCUCAUGGACCAGAUUUCACUCGCCAAGACAUACAUCGUGGUCGCCAAAGAAGCCAACAACCUGCAGUUUUCUGCGGAGCUUAGUGCGCAGAUACGGCGGGCACAGAGCAUCCUAGCGCAUGCCGCUGCCCAUGGGGACACAGUAAUGGAGCAGGAAGCGGAGAAAGCGAUUAGGGACAUGUCUGUGCUGCUCUUCCAGGCGCAGCAGUUCCGGUAUGACAGCGGUGUCACAAUCAUGAAGAUGAAAGGUCAGAUUCAGUCCCUAGAGGAGAAGUCGAGAGCUGAGGCGGAGAAGAGCGCAAAGUAUGGGCAGAUUGCUGCUGAAGAGCUCCCAAAGGGACUUUACUGCCUUGGUGUUCGAUUAACCAUGGAAUGGUUCAAGAGUCCCGAGCUUCAGAGGAAGUUUUCAGAUAGGAGCCCAGCUGUGCAGAGCAAUCUAAGGGAUAACAGCCUCUAUCAUUAUUGUGUCUUCUCAGACAACAUCAUUGCUGUCUCGGUUGUUGUCAAUUCUACAGCUAUAAACUCAAAGCACCCUGAAAAGAUUGUUUUUCACCUAGUGACUGAUGAGUUGAACUAUGCUCCAAUGAAGGCGUGGUUUGCCAUGAAUGAUCACAGAGGGGUCACUGUCGAGAUACAAAAGGUGGAGGACUUCACCUGGCUCAAUGCGUCGUAUGUUCCCGUUCUUAAACAGCUGCAGAACACUGCCACCCAGAAGUUCUACUUCUCAGGUGGUGGUAAUCGUGGUACACCGAUCAAAUUCAGGAAUCCAAAGUACCUAUCCAUGCUUAACCACCUGAGGUUUUACAUCCCGGAAAUUUAUCCUGAUUUGCAUAAAGUGGUAUUUCUUGAUGAUGAUGUUGUUGUUCAGAAGGACUUAUCAGAGUUGUUUACUAUCAACCUCAAUGGUAAUGUGAUGGGUGCUGUAGAGACUUGCAUGGAGACAUUCCAUAGGUUUCAUAAGUAUCUUAAUCAUUCCCACCCACUAAUCCGUGCUCAUUUUGACCCUGAUGCUUGCGGCUGGGCAUUUGGUAUGAAUGUGCUUGAUCUUGUUGAAUGGAGGAAUAAGAAUGUGACAGGCAUAUAUCAUUACUGGCAGGAGCGAAAUGCUGAUCAUACCCUAUGGAAGCUUGGGUCUUUACCGCCUGGGCUUCUUGCUUUCUAUGGCUUGGUUGAAGCAGUGGACCCAAAAUGGCAUGUCUUGGGGCUGGGCUACACAAUGGUGGAUCCUGCUACUAUCAAGGAAGGGGCAGUAUUGCAUUACAAUGGAAAUAUGAAGCCAUGGCUGAAAAUUGGAAUGGAGAAGUACAAGAGCUUUUGGGAUAACUAUGUGGACUAUUCACACCCUCUGCUUCAGCAGUGCUUCAUGCGAUGAUUAGUGUGUAUCAACAUCAGAAAAUUUUGAGCUUCCUCGUGGAAACGUCUCAAAUGCACUGCUCCAAAGGUCGCACGUAAACAUGUAGUAGGAUCAGUUGGCUUCAUUCUCAAGUUACAUCCUUAGGAUUAAACGUCAAUGGCUGUUUAUACUGGCAUCUGUAGUUAAUUAAUGGAGCACAACAAUCACAGAUAUCAUCGGCAGCAGGAACCUUGUUCCUCUGGAGCAGGUAUGGAAUCAUUGGAGUUUUCAGAUUUAUCAACUACCACAGUGUCAGAAGUUGCAUUUUCGUUGUUUGCUCCCACUACAAUGCUCUCAUCGUGGUGGCUGCUCUCUGAUGCAGUAGUGUUGUUGGAAUUUUCUUCUUCUGCUGGAGCAGGUAUGGAAUCACUGGGGUUUUCAGAUUUGUCAAGUACCACAGUGUCAGAAGUUGCAUUUUCGUUGUUUGCUUCCACAACAAUGCCCUCAUCCUGGUGGCUGCUGUCUGAUGCUGUAGUGUUGUUGGAAUUUUCUUCUUCUGCUGGAGCAGGUAUGGAAUCACCGGAAUUUUCAGAUUUGUCAUGCUCAGCUUCUUUUUGCUGCAGGAGUUCCUUUAUAGUUGUCGUCUGAUCAGGGUUUGAAGCAGCUGCAUUCUCUUUCAUUUGGUUGAUAUGGCUCUCUUUCUCCACAAGAGCUGCUUCCAAUUCUUUCUGGGUGUUGGUUAGAUAUGUGGUGGUAGUUUCUGAAUCCAUGAGCUUGUUUUUCAGUUCUGCCCUCUCAAUACUUAAGACAGAUGUUUUGGCUUCCAGUUCGUCCACUUUCCUCCUCAUCUCUUUAUUAAUUUCCUUUUCUUUCUGGCAAAAAUGAGGUAGCAAUAUAUGGUUAAUGAGAUGUUCUUGGAUAACAGUCUGGAUAAAUAAUUCAUAGAGCACAUUAACAAAAAGGGCAGAUAGAAAUCUCUAAAUGUGCUACAGCUAUGGCAGUUUACCAUCAACCAAUGAACGAUAUCUUCAUCACAGUAUUAUUUACUUGCACAAAUUACAGGAUGUUCAGUUGAAUAUAUCAAUGUACUUGCAUUUCGAAAUUUUAUUGUGGUAUGAUGCCUCCAACUAACAGUAUGUCUGCAAAUGGUGUCAACAUGGUUCUCAGGGGUAAUUUAUAUGAACUAUGAACUUAUGAAGGCAUAGUCCUAGAUUCCACAGUAUCCUCAUUGUUUAGGUGUGGAAAGAUUUCACAAGUGCAAUACUGCAGCUUUGUUGUAUCUGUACUUCUACCGAAGCCCUGUUUACAAUGUGGGAUUUUUCUCCUACUCCUGUGGAAAUUGUAAUGUUUGUUGGAAUUCCUGCAAAAAUUGUUUGUCCAAAUAGGCCCUAAAUUGGCAUUGUGAUGGAUCGGACAUGACUAUUGAAUGCAAAUAGAAUUCAACUCUGCAUGGGAUUCUACUAUUUCUUAUAUUUUAUUUUUAAUUAAUGGUAAAUAAAAUUCCCUAAUUUGAGCAUUGUAGGCAAUUCUCCCUAUCUGAGUGCACAUGUAGUAUAUAGAAGUUUUAGUGGGAUCUUGACUUUGGAACUACCAUGCACCAAUGUUUUGUAAUUCAUUUGAUGAUGAGACAUUAUUAUGCUAAAGAGAAUUGAUGAUGUGGUAUUCUAUUAACUCAUAUUUUGCACUCAAGUUUAGAUAAAGAUAAGAUUAAUUAUUUACACUAAUGCCUUAAUUUAGCAGCCCUGUGUAAUGCAGAGACCCGAAGGGGCUUGAAGUUAUUUAAAUGCUUCUAGUCUGGGACCAUGAUGUUGAUUAAGAAAUCUGGACAAUCUAAGGGCAGAAUAUUUAAGCCACAACAUGUCGAAUUGUUACUUUGAGGACACAAUAUUCUCUAUCAUGCAUGGCAUCAGUAUUUCAGUACAAUGUGGAAAUUGUUCUUUAGAACUUCAGAUGGAUACUAUGAGCAUCAAUUUUCUGUUACAGCUUAUAAAUCAAUGGAAAAAAAUGAGUAGACUCAACUGAUAGCUCAUUGCUAAAGAGCCUUGAUAGUCCAGGUGGUAAAAACUGGGCAAGCACAAAGAGAAGCAACUAUCUAGAAGAAAGAAAAUUGUGGUGCAUACAAACUUGAACAUAUCCAUACCUCCAGGAGGACUUGGAGGGAGAUGAGCUGCUGGUCGCGUUCCUGGAGGAGGACGGCGAAGAUGCGUCGCUCCCUCAUCUUGUGCAGGAUGCUGACACUGAGCGCAGCGCUGCCAAUGGCUAGCAGCACCAGCAGCAGGAUCUUGUGCUGUUGACUGCAGAAUGGGACAACUGCUGUGGCAGCAGUGUGAAGAAACUGGAGCUUCCUUUUCGGUUGCUUGGAUUCUGGAAAGAGAAGUGAACUUGCUUAGGAAUGGAGGAACGAGAUACUUGGAGGUGCCAACUCUGAGGGCUUAUGCAUAAUUGUGUAUGCUGCACUUGCUUCAAGGUGAGGCACAUGCUCAUUCUAGUUGAUUUGUUUGAGCCUUUGAGAGGUAUAAAGUCUGGUUAUCUUUGACUUUUGCUGGUUAUCGUGAGUCGUUAGCAAUAUUGAUUACGAUGCUUGCAUUUGCAACUGAUAUCACAGUAAGGUAUCUUUGAUCACAAAUGUAUUCAGAUCCAAGCCAAAGCUCUAUCAUAUAUGCACUGCUGGAUGAGGACAUCCUCAAAAGUUCCAGAAUGACAAAAAAGAUUGAAGUGUAACUCUGGAAUUCUAGCAAUUCCUACCCAAAAAAAGGUGAAAAUUUUAUUCCCCAGAAAUGGGACUUCAUGAAGUGUAACUCGGGAAAUGGCCGU